rnacentral:rRNA from 1 species
AUUGAGCGCUAGCGGCAGGCCUCACACAGGCAAGUCGCGCGAGCGGCGGACGGGUGAGUAAUGUAUGGGGGCUACCCGAUGGAGGGGGAUAACUACUGGGAACGGUAGCUAAUACCGCGUAAUAUCGGAUAACCAAUAUGGGAUUAGCUAGGUGGUGAGGUAAUGGCUCACCAAGGCGACGAUCCCUAGCUGGUCUGAGAGGAUGAUCAGCGAUACUGGGACUGAGACACGGCCCAGACUCCUGCGGAGCCAGCAGUGGGGACUAUUGCACAAUGGGCGCAAGCCGUAUGCCGCCAUGCCGGGUGUAUGGAGAAGGCUCUAGCGUUGUAAAGUACUGUCAGUCGGGCGGCGUUACCGACAGAAGAAGCACCGGCUAACUCGGUGCCAGCAGCCGCGGUAAUAC